UACGAAGGUCCCAAGCGUUAUCCGGAUUUAUUGGGUUUAAAGGGUGCGUAGGCGGUCUAUUAAGUCAGUGGUGAAAGCCCCAAGCUCAACUUGGGAACUGCCAUUGAUACUGAUGGACUUGAGUACAUUUGAGGUGGGCGGAAUGUGUCAUGUAACGGUGAAAUGCUUAGAUAUGACACAGAACACCGAUUGCGAAGGCAGCUCACUAAACUGUAACUGACGCUGAGGCACGAAAGCGUGGGGAGCAAACAGG
rnacentral:rRNA from 1 species